rnacentral:sRNA from 1 species
GGCAGCGUGCUCCCACCGAGGUGGAAGC